CAUAAUGGAAAAAAAUAGAUGGAGUUCCAGCUUCCUAAUUGUUCCAUAAAAGGAUUUGGGGGAUAUAUAUCUGACAAUGACAGAUUUGUCAUUUGAGGAUGUUAUCUAAAAGUUAUGAGAUGAUUAUUAUAAUUGAAUCAUUUUAUUUUUAGGAAUAAAAUUUCAAAUUUCAUCCAAUUUUGUAAUUGUAAAAAAAAAAAAUGACACUUUCUUUCCAUGAUACAUCAUUUAUCAUCAGAUGUAAAGAAAUACUGAGGUUUUGUGUUUAAUGAUAAAGCAGCUCUCCUUGUGUAAUGUCACAUAAGGAAAUUUAAAAAUCAAAUUGGUUUCAGUUAAUUACAUGGUCAAAUCUGUAUAUAUCAAAAUACAGGAUAGGUCAGAUUUUCAAAUAGAAAGAAAUAUUUGGUGUAGGCAUCUUGGAGAAUAUCCAUAGAUUAGUGUGUGCUUGAGUGUGUGUGUGUGUGUGUGUGUGUGUAUGCACUUUUCUCUACCACAAAAUAAUUUACAGAACAGAAAAUUAGUGUACAUCACUAAUGUAUCAGAAGCAGUAAGGAAAGAUGGCACUAUGCAUUGAAAUAACAAAAUUAAGUAGGGAUAAAUACCAAGUUGUUGACUAUCAAAAUGCUUCACCAGGUCUGCUGAUGGAGGAAAAUGAAAAUGAUAGAAGACAACAUUUGCUAUAUCUCUAGAUUUAAAAGGUAAAACUAUUUUUGAAAUAAACAUUCCAUUCAAAGUAUUCACUCUGAAAAUCCACACAAAUAAGAAUCAGACUAAUGUGAGGAAAGAAAGAGCAUUACUGCUUAAUAGUUAAAAUGGUAACACAACAGACAGGAUUAGGAUGGCAGAAUAGAAGAACUGGAGCUCACUUUCUCUCAUAAAAACAACAAAAUUACAACCAAAUGCUGAACAACCUUCAAUCAAAUGGACUGGAAACUUUCAAAAAAGAUAUCCUACUAGAGAAGACAAAGAGGAGGCCACAUCAAGAGGGUAGGAGGAGCAAUUACACAAUAUAAGCAACCCCAUACCCUCUGGGUCAGCAGCUCACAGACGACUGGAAAGUAAAUGUAUCACAGAAACUCACCUACAGGAAUGAGAGUUCUGAACCCCAUGUCAGGUCCCCAUCCCUGGGGAUCUGGCACUGGGAGAAAGAGUACCCAGGGCAUGUGGCAUUGAAGGCCAGUGGAGCUUGUGCACAGGAGCUUCCUGGGACUGGGGGAAAGAGAGACCCCAUGCUUGAGAGGCACACACAGGCUUUCAUGUGCUAUGGGUCCCAGGGCAAAGCAGAGACUCCAUAGGAAUCUGGGUAGGACCUGAUUGCAGUUCUUGGAGGAUCUCCUGGGAAAACAGGGGGUGACUGCAGCUUGUUGUGGGGGAAGGACAUUGGAGGCAAAGGUCUCAGGAGAGUGUUCAUCAGUGUGUGUUCCUCUAGAGGUGACCAUUUUGGGAAAAUCUGGUGCCACCCAUCAAUGCUAAGAAGCCCCAGGCCAAACAAUAAUCCAGGUGGGAUCACAGCCCCACCCAUCAGUAAAAAAGCUGCCUAAGGACCCCCAGGUGCGUAGCUGCCUCUAAUCUCAUGCAGUAACAAAGCCCCACCUACCAGUGGGCAGGCACCACUCCCUCCCAUCAGGAAGCCUACAGCAAGUUCCCCAUACCAACUUCAGCUACAAAGGGUGCAGACAUCAGAAAUAAGGGAGAAAGAAAAACAGCUAGCUGAUCUGGAGAUUAUCAGCCUCCAGACUGAUAACACUGAAGAUGAUGCAAGCCAUUGGAAAUAAACUAGAGGCAAAGAUUGAUAAUUUACAGCAAACAUUGAGCAAAGAAAUACAAGAUUUAAAACUUAAGCAAGGAGAGAUGCAAAACACAAUAACUGAAAUAAAAAAUUCAUUAGAAGUAACCAACAGCAGAAUACAGGAGGUAGAAGAAGGAAUAAGAGAGGAGGAGGACAGACUAGUGGAAAUCACUGAUGUGGA
rnacentral:lncRNA from 1 species